ACCAGCGGUGAGAGCACCUUGAAUGCUACAGUUCCCCACGGAUCACUGAAGUUAACGUUGCGCGUGGUUAGUACCUGGAUGGGUGACCAUCUGGGGAUUCCGCGUGCUGCUGGAU
rfam:Asian citrus Psyllid, Diaphorina citri - Florida Strain, whole genome shotgun sequence.